AGUGCAAUUGCUGGGUCAUAUGGUAAGAGUAUGUUUAGCUUUGUAAGUAACUACUAAGCUGCCUUCCAAAGUGUCUGUACAAUUUUGUAUUCCCACCAGCAAU
rnacentral:pre_miRNA from 1 species